rnacentral:rRNA from 1 species
UACGGGGGGAGCAAGCGUUGUUCGGAUUUACUGGGCGUAAAGGGCGCGUAGGCGGCCCGCUAAGUCGAACGUGAAAUCCCCGAGCUCAACUCGGGAACUGCGUCCGAUACUGGCGGGCUUGAAUCCGGGAGAGGGAUGCGGAAUUCCAGGUGUAGCGGUGAAAUGCGUAGAGAUGCGGAGGAACACCGAUGGCGAAGGCAGCCCCCUGGGCCGACAUUGACGCUCAGGCACGAAAGCGUGGGGAGCAACAGG